CGCCUCUUGACCCACCCUAAGAGGUCCAGCCUGCCCAGUGACUUUUGUUCAACGGCCACGGUAUCCUAACCGUGCGAAGGUAGCGUAAUCACUUGUCUCCUAAAUAGGGACUAGUAUGAAAGGCAUCACGAGGGCCUAACUGUCUCCUUUUUCUAAUCAGUGAAAAUAAUCUCCCCGUGAAGAAGCGGGGAUAUUUUUAUAAGACGAGAAGACCCUAUGGAGCUUUAAACUUUACAGCAUCUGCCUACUAUUUUCUUUUUUCGGAAAACUACCCCAUCAUUAGGCCCCCCUGUCUGUGAGCUUUCGGUUGGGGCGACCCCGGAGAAUAAAAUACCCUCCGUAAUGAACAGAUUCAAUCUUUAGCAAAAAGCUACAACUUUAAACAUCAGUAAAACUGACAUACAUUGACCCAAAAAUUUGAUCAACGAACCAAGUUACCCUAGGGAUAACAGCGCUAUCCACUUUGAAAGUUCCUAUCGACAAGUGGGCUUACGACCUCGAUGUUGGAUCAGGAUACCCCAGUGGCGCAGUCGUUACUAAAGGUUCGUUUGUUCAACGAUUAAAAUCCU
rnacentral:rRNA from 1 species